rnacentral:rRNA from 1 species
UACGUAGGGUCCGAGCGUUGUCCGGAAUUACUGGGCGUAAAGAGCUCGUAGGUGGUUUGUCGCGUUGUCCGUGAAAACUCACAGCUCAACUGUGGGCGUGCGGGCGAUACGGGCAGACUGGAGUACUGCAGGGGAGACUGGAAUUCCUGGUGUAGCGGUGGAAUGCGCAGAUAUCAGGAAGAACACCAGCGGCGAAGGCGGCACUCUGGGCUGGAAUUGACGCUGAGGAGCGAAAGUGUGGGUAGCAAACAGG